rnacentral:misc_RNA from 1 species
AAAUCUCAACCUUCUCGGUUUCUUCUGGACACCGAAGGAGGCUUGGACUUUGGAGGCCUUUGCUGGCGUCUCUCUCUUUUGAGAGCCAGCUCCUCUUAAAUGAAUUAGCGGGGUCCUCUUUGCUGGUCCUCGACAUGUGAUAAGAUGUUUCCAUGUCUUGGUUUCUGGCUCUGUUGCUUUUGGGACCCGCUUCUAACCGUCUCAACGAGACAACGUUUGAGCGCGUCUCCCUUCUCGGGAGACCCUCUCAACCUCACGAAC